rnacentral:rRNA from 1 species
UACAGAGGUCCCAAGCGUUGUUCGGAUUCACUGGGCGUAAAGGGUGUGUAGGCGGUCUUCUAAGUUUGGUGUGAAAUCUCCCGGCUCAACUGGGAGGGUGCGCCGAAAACUGGGAGGCUAGAGUACUGGAUGGGAGAGUGGAAUUCCUGGUGUAGCGGUGAAAUGCGUAGAUAUCAGGAGGAACACCGGUGGUGUAGACGGCUCUCUGGACAGUAACUGACGCUGAGACACGAAAGCGUGGGUAGCAAACAGG